AUGUUAGGGAGCCCGCACUGUUUGAAGAGCAUGCUGCAAGUGUCAACAACUUCACUGCAGACUUGCUGCUGCUGCAAAGAAUAACCAUGUCAAGCUGGUUCGUUGGUAAAGAUGGGCUUAGAGAAAAAAGAAAGCAAUUAUAAAAACUCCUCCAACUAGCUGACGAACAGGUGAAGCUAUUGAAAGAGGAGGACAGUGAGCUCUUGGGUCUCUGUGCUGAGAAUCAGCGAAUAUGCGAAGAGAUCAUAAAGAAAAGGCAGGAGCUUGACAAAGCCAAUGCGACCAUAUCGAAUUUGAAGAGUGUUUACCACAGCUGUAUUGAUAAGAAGUUUUCAUGUAACAAGUUUUUAUCUAACAAACAGCAAGAUCGAGCAGGCAAGUCCUCACUGAAAGAGAAAAGAAAGCUGCAAGAUGAGCAACAUAAGCUGAAAGUCCUCAACAACACCUUGUUGCAAGUUAUUACCUCAGCUGGUAUUGACUGGGCGAAAAAUGAACAGCUCGUUGGGCUACUCAAUACAAUAUCACAGUUCUUAUGAGCUAACUUGCAGCUUCAUUGAGUUACUUAGAAAAAAAAAUGUUUCAGGUAACUUAUUAGUAUAUAGUCAAGUGAAAGCUCCAUUUUUCCUGCCUUUUCCAUCCAAAUGCUGCAAAAUCCAGAAAAUGCACUCACCAGGUAUAUGCUGAACCAUUCUGAAUGAAUUUUAUUGCACUUAAAUAAAAAGAGUAGAUUUUCAAUGAUUUAAUGAAGCCAGUAGGGCUAGAAGUAGAACUGUGAAAGAAGAUACAAGACUGUGCUGCAACUCCUUACUGGAAAUCUUAUUUCACAAACAGUGGCUAACAAACCAUAGAAUAGAAACAAUGGGUAAAUGAGAAAAAUUACAUAAAAAGCUACUGAACAAAGACUGACAUAAGCUUUAAAUAUACAAUUUAUGCCCUAGUGUAGCAGUUAAAAUUAGUAGUGCCUCAAGCUAUUCAGUGAUAUGUUGUGUUAGUUGAUGGCUGGCACUUCUCAUGUCUUAUUUUAUGCCCAAUGAACUGGGAAGCCGUUGGUUGUGUGAUAUGUACUAUCAUGGCCACUGGAUUAAAAAAAUAAUUUUUGUUUUUUAUCCAGCGGCCGUGGUACAGUCUUCUAUAUUUUCGCAUUUUCCUUGCGCAUUGAUUUUUGUGAACUCAAAAAACCACCAUUUGUGGGCCAA